rnacentral:rRNA from 1 species
UACGUAGGGUGCAAGCGUUAAUCGGAAUUACUGGGCGUAAAGCGUGCGCAGGCGGUUAUGUAAGACAGAUGUGAAAUGCCCGGGCUUAACCUGGGAACUGCAUUUGUGACUGCAUGGCUAGAGUGUGUCAGAGGGGGGUAGAAUUCCGCGUGUAGCAGUGAAAUGCGUAGAGAUGCGGAGGAACACCGAUGGCGAAGGCAGCCCCCUGGGCCAACACUGACGCUCAGGCACGAAAGCGUGGGGAGCAAACAGG